UGGACCUCAGAUCAGGCAAGAUUACCCGCUGAGUUUAAGCAUAUCACUAAGCGGAGGAAAAGAAACUAACAAGGAUUUCCUUAGUAACGGCGAGCGAACCGGAAGAGCCCAGCUUGAA
rnacentral:rRNA from 1 species